rnacentral:lncRNA from 1 species
GACAUCAGUAUAAUAAGCCCAACGGGAGAAUGAUAUGGCAAUUUCUAAAUUUCCUAGAAGGAUCGCUCAGGAGGAUGGGCUUGAGCAGGCUGCCUUCCAUGUCACACCACCACUGGGCACAUUUUGUUUUUUGGCAACUGCCCCAACAGGGUAAGUAAACUAAAAUUCCCCAAAGAAAACUUACUGAUGAAAGCCAUUCAGAGUUUCAUAGUAUUGCUAAGAAAUGUUCUUUUUUAAUCUUAAGGCGGAAAAAGAAAAUAUCUGAGUGAAUAUCCAAUUUUACGUAUUUGUUUAUAUAAAAUAGUAUCCAGCAAUGUAAACUGCUUUGUUUAGGUAUGUGUAAGAAUGGGAUCCUUGAGGAAUUAUGAAGCAGUUUUGUAAAUUAUCAGGCAAGUCUGCUGUUAUUGGAGACAGUUCCUCCUCUGACCAGCUUGGCUUAAUCUGGAUCCCACAAGGCAGCAGUCUUUCCUAAGCUUCACCUAUUCUGAUUUGCCAAAUGCUUUUCUUAAUCAUCUGGUGCUACCAGAUGUCAGAAUUCCCUGCUGCUAUCUCUAGUAUUGGUAGUCUCUCACUUGUGGUAAAUAUAGCUCAUGUUGAUUCAGUUGGCUUGUGUUCUGAACAGCUGGAUGGGUAUCAGGGGGCUUGGGAAAGAGGCUGAACUCGUCCUGAAGAGUCCUGAGAGACUUGGUCACAGCUGAAAGAUUGAGUGCCUGAAAGAGCCCAAAUAACCACAAAGCUUGUAUCUUACAUAAAAUUUCCCUAUAAAAUGGAAUCCUUCCGCCCCCAUUUCUAGGUAAGCUUUAUCUGUGCUUGCAACGUGAUAUGGAAGGCUGACACUUACCCUCUGUGUCCCUUCAUUAUAAAUUACCACUAUGGAAAUAUUCAUCACAACCCUUUUUCUUCUUAACAAGAUUUGCCUGGGUCAUCUGCUCCUCUGGUGAUCUCACUGCGUGGUUCUUGGAUGCCCUCAUUAGUAUCGCUUGAGUUGCCUGUGACAAAUAUAGAUUCCAGGGCUUUUCUCAGAUUAUUAGAAUCAGAAUCCAAAAUUUUAAAGUAGCUCUCAUUAAUUGAGCACUAACUUGUGCCAGGCUAUGUUCUGUGUACUAUUAUACGUAAUAUGCUAUUAUGUAAUGUAUAACACAUGACUAUAUUGUUAUAUCUGGUGUCUUCUGAGUUACUGAGAAACCAAAGACACAGCUCCCCAAAGUGAGAGAUGCCUGUCGCCCAUCCUACAAAGCUAGGCUGUCCAAUGGGACAUGUGUUUAGAAUCCAAGUUCUGAGAACCUACAUUUUAAACAAGCUUCCUGGAUAUUUUUAUGUACACUAAAUCUGAGAACUACAUGCAUAAAUUCAGCUCCAGGAAGUUAGGAUUCAGGUCUAUUUUGUUCCCUGUGGUAUAUUCAGCACAUAACAAAAUAUCUGGCAGGCAAUAGUGUUUUAUUUUAUUUUUAAAAUAAAACGUACAACUAAUUCUCAAAUAUUCCUUCCUUUUUAUUUUGAGGAUCCUUCUAAAUGGUGGAAAGACAAAUAUACUACAUUCUGUAAAGUAAAAGACAGAUAAUCUUGUUUUUAGAUGUAUUUUCAACUUUUGUAAAAUGGCUCCUGUGAGUAGAUUAUCUUGCUUGCCAAGAGCCUAUUUUUACAAGUGUUUUUCAAUUUACAUCACUGGGUAACUCUACAAGCAUCAUAGCUUUGCUGAAGUAACGUUAGAAAUGAAGCAAACAAUAGGGUUGGGUGUCUUCUGAGUUACUGAGAAACCAAAGACACAGCUCCCCGAAGUGAGAGAUGCCUGCCCCCCAACCUGCAAAGCUAGGCUGUCCAAUGGGGCGUGUGUCUAGUACAUAAUUCUCCUGGAAGAAUUAGCAGAGCGAGUUGAGACUUUCAAUUCAGCACCUAUAGAAUUCAAUAGCUCAUGAAGGACUGUGUUUUCUAGAAAAAAAAAAUGGGAUGGGGAACAGGGUAGAGGAAUUUACUCUCAAGAAGAAAUGCUUUUGACAUGUUUUUCUAACCUCCAUCAGCUGACCUUUUCCAAGAAAAGAAAUACAUUUAAUUUGAUUUCCAGAUUUGUGAUCUACACAACUUAUUUAUAGUUACUUCGUCCUCCAGGCCUGAAGAAUUUAGAAUAUAAUAGAAGUGGCAAUGUUAAAAUCCCAAAAUCAAGCCUUAAUAAACAUAGAAGCUUGUGGGCAUUCCUGGCUAGAGAUUAAUUUGGCACUAUUUCAAACUAAUAUUCUUGAAAAUUUUAAAGUAUCUGUCAUUAAUUGAGCACUACUUGUGCCAGGCUGUGUUCUGUGUACUAUUAUACGUAAUAUACUAUUAUAUGUAACUUACUACUAUAUCAUAACAUUCUAUUAUUUGUACUAUUAUAUGUACUGUUCUAUGUACUGCAUGAGUACAUUUAACCUUCUCAACAUUUCUAUUCAUAAUGUACAGUUAUUUUCAGAUAAGGAAAUAAAAGCAAUGAGAAGUUAAAUUGUCCAGCACCCUCCUCCUCCUAUGUGGUCAUGUGACCCCCAGAGAUUCCAACUCAGGCACUCUUAGUUCUGCUACUCUAGUGAAGGGCAGGGAACGAGUCUCCUGGGAGGUAGUUCUAAUGCCUGUGCUCCUGGGAACCUAACUGAAGCCCUGCCACUGCUCAUUUGUCUCCCCUUUCUAAAAUCAUCUAUUACUCCAGCCUGCUUUUUUUUUCUUAGUGGGUGAACAGGGUUUCUCUACCAAUUUCCCCCAGGGGCUUGUUACAUAUUCCUUUUAUUAUACUUACUAUUCUCUGAGGUGACUUCUGGUAAAUUCAACUUUCUUCAUUCCCUAAUAUUGCCAGUGAAGCUUUCACAAACCGUAUAGUAUAGUAUUCUGUGCUGGGUUAAAAAGCUGCCCCCCCCCCAAAAAAAAAAAAAAAAGCAUUUAAACCUAACUGCCCUUAAAGUCAAGGCAAGCUUGAGACAUUUUGAUGCAAGACCCUAUUCCUAAUGGUCACAAGGAAUACUGAAUGAACGCUGGCAAAUGAGAGGACGGGAGAAUUGUUUUGGGUUGAUAUGGAUGCAGAACGGUAAUGUGGUUGGUUUGUGUUUUUUUCCUAAUUAGCCUACUUAGUGAGGGAUUCAUAUUAGACAGUCCUGAACAAUCGAUAUCCUUAGAAGAUACACCAAAGAGGAUAUAGCCCUGCAGGGAAGGCUUCCACUGUCCUUUCUGCAUGCAAAUGCAAGAUUCUGAGGCCUAGCGAUUUCAAAAUGGGCAACUGACAAACAGACUUUAUACUUGUAGUAUAAUAGACUUGAAGAAACCUCCAUUGACUCCAAUUUUAAAGAUGAUUUUCAUUGCUGAUGUACAUGUUUCUGGCAUUUCCCACCCUCUCUGAGAUAAGUCUGAAAAAUAGGAAAGAAGGAAGUUUGGUUUUCUAUGAAAACACAGUUCCACAUAAACUACAGAACUUUUUUGAAGUGCCAAAUGCACACUUAGCCUGAAUCUAGUAAUUUGAUUCUCCUGGCCAAAUCUACUUGCCAUAAAUAUUCUCAUAACAAUAGCCAGCCAAGUGUGUUUGAAAAGUAGCAGUUAUCUCUGGUUUGAGUGCUGUGUCUUUAGGUUCUUGGGAACUGUAGGUAAUAUCCAACAGUAAUGUACUUGUAACUGUAUCCAGUAUCAUUACUGAAAUUUAAAUUUACUUUAUGCUAAGAAUUGAUUUUUAAAUAUCCCUCAUCAUAAGGACUGGUUGUAGAGACACUAGAGAAUCAUGAUGUUGACUGCUUUAACCAAUACUGAGCACCCACUGUAUACUAAGCUUUGUAUAAUUUUUGGUGCUACCGUACUAGCUUGAGUUAAAUAUGGUCUAGACUCAGUUCCUAAGGAGUUCAUGGAAAUGGAUGUGUAAAUGAAAUGGUUUCAGGAAAGAUCAAGGAAAGCUUCACAGAGAAAGUAGCACUUCCACAGGGUUUCAAAAAGUAAGUUUGCAUUCUCCAGGUAGAUCUAAGGAAGAAAGAGGAGGAAUAAAAGCACUUGAGUGCCAAUCACAGUAAUGUGAGUGGGGGAGGCCUAUGAGGCUAAGGUCAAUGGGAUUUGUGAUAGAUGCUGGGAGGAAAAUCUAGAAAGGGAAUUUGAAGGGUCUUGAAUGCCAUAUGAAUGAGUUCAGAUUUUGCCUGUAGGCAAUCGAGAAACACUGAAAGGCUUUAAUCAGUGUAGUGACAUACUUACAUUAAGGUUUUAGAAAGAUUACUCUAGUGGCAGUAGAAGCAGAAAUUGUGGUGGUCAUGCUGAAGACUGAGUGAGUGCUUAAAGGAUUAUAAUUAUACUUAUAAAUGAUAUAAUCAUAAUAAAAUGGUUUACAUGAGAGAUAAUAUUAAACAGAAGAAAAUUUUAGUAAUAAAGAUGGAAAGGACAAAAGACAUUUGAGACAUUUGACUCCAGUUUCUUAAAUUAGUGGAUGUUCAAGUUUUUUUCAAGCAUUUUAAUCUUCUAACCCUCUAAGAAGACUUAUCUGAAAUACUUAUAUAUUAAAUGAAUAAGUUGUAUUUUGUUAAUAAAUGUAAUAUGGAAAUUCAAACAUGUAUUUACUUAUAUAAACUCAAUUACUAAAAUCAAUGUAGCUGAUUUACUACAGACAAAUUUGCUAAUAAAUUCUAUGAUUAUAGAUGAGAAUUACUGAACUUUAUCCGUAUUAACAUAUAAUUUAUUGAAUAUAUUUUAACUUGCAUAUACAGGAUUCUUAAAAAUAAGUAGUUACAAAGGGGUAAAUGAUCAUUGCUUUACAAAAAUUAGGUAACUUUGAAACAUUAGAUACCUCCAAUUACAUUGGUUUGGAAGCUUGAAGGACCAGUAUUUGAAAUGCUUGUGUCAAAAAUGUAUCAUUAAUAAUAUUGAAAAAUGCUUGAACUCUCUAUAAUAAAUGUGAAAGUCUGAAAUGGAGUGCUUAAAAUAUAAAAAUAUUAAUUUAUCUAUGAUAUUAUAUUCUUGCUGUGUGAUGUAUUAUGCAUUCACUUGUUAUCGCACAACUGAUUUUGGGCUAGGAGUAGUACAUUCCCUGAAGGAGUGCUCCUAAGUCUUGCCAGCAUUUGUUUGAGAGUAGCACACAUAAGCUUUAGUAAUAAUCUUUCUUGCACAUUUCUAUGUGAACAGACAUGGGCAAGUCUGAUUUCCAAGAACGGCUAAUGUAGAAUGAUUCUCUUCCUAAUCAAUGGUCAUUUGUCUGGGGUGAGUUCUAGAAUUGGUAUUUUUAAAGAGUGCCCUACAUGAGUCUUUCAUGAGGCCAGUAUUGGAAAGCCCAGUUCUUUCUGGCCAGCCUUAUUUUGGGUGCCAGAGAGACAUAUGCAGUGGGAGAGAAAAAUAAAGGCUAAUUCUAUAUGUUGCCUAAGUGCUAAGAAAAACAAAACAAAAAAUGGGACAGCAUAUAAAAUACUAUGCUGGCUUGAUACAUGAGUAAUUAAAUCUGAUGUUGGUAUUAUUCUGAUAAAGUUACAGUGAUUAUAAUUUUGGAGAAGGAGGGAGAGGCUUUCAGUGGAUUCCUGAAAGUGAUGAUGGUUGAGCUGGGAGUAGGUUUCUCUCAGUGGAGAGGAAAUAGUAUGAAUAAAAGUACGACAUUUUGAGAUGUAGGUAGUCAUCCUCUGGUUUUGAUACUGGGCAAAGAUGCUUAGGCACUUCAGAGGUUUUCUGGCCCAUCUUUCUAAUCCUGAGCAUAACUUCCCAGAAUGGAUCUAUGGUGUCUCUCAUGGCACCCCGUGUAUACUGGGAGGCCUAGGUUUUCUCAGUAACUUCCUUAUAAUUAUAAAGAGCAUUAACUCUUUAAGAUAAUGCAUGAGUAGAUAUAAUUUCAUAAAUGGAAUUGGUAGAGCUUGAAAAGUUAAUGCACUUUCCCAAGUUAGCAUCUUAGUUACUUUUCAAAAGCAGGACAAAAACCAUUGCUUGUCAGAGUAAGAUAUAAAGCAAAGAACUCUUUUUCCCCAUGAGGUCUAAUAGAGCAAAUCACCUACAAGGAAGACAUUAUUUUUUGCCUGAAUGGUAGGAGCGUGUGGUGAGUCAUGAAUCAAUAAAAACAUUACCAUAAGCUAUUUAGUGAUUCAUCUCUUUCUUAUUUCUAAAAUAGGCUUCAAACAGAAGAACAUUUUACUUAUAUCCUCAGAUUGUGCUCUGAGAUGCGCUUAUAAAAUUCUAGGGUCAAACUCUACAUUUGACUGCUAGAAUAAAAUUCCCAUUGAUGCAAAACUUCAGGAAAUUUGUGGUUUGCAGAAGAAAGGUAAUAAUACUCGUUUCUCUGCUUCCAUUUGAGAAAGUUUUUAGAUUUUCUUUCCUCUGUAAUUAAGUGAAAUUGGAUCUUACUUUUCAUACUUUACUAUUUUUGAAAAGCAGAUUGCUAAAUGUGGCAAACUGUAUUUUCCAAAAAUGGCCAAAGCAAUAUUCCCAGGACAAAGUGUUCUAGAACUUUACCAUUCCUCUGUCAAGAAGAAGAGUCUAUUUCCUUUCCCAUUGACACUAGGAAGGCCUUGUGACCACGUAGAUUAAAAGAAUGUGUAUGAGUGACACAGUGUGUCUGUUUCUCUACUCUUCUCUCUUGACCUUGGGUGGACCUUUUUGACCACCCCUGUGAAUAAAAUGCAGUGAAAGUAAUGCUUGUGAGGUUCAGGCAGAAAAAGUCGUACAGCGUCUGCGUGGUUCUCUCACUCUUGGGAAGCUUGCCCUUAGAAUUCAGCCACCAUGUUGUGAGGAAGCAGAGGCCACAUGGAGGGCCCACAUGUAUAUGUUCUGGUUGACAAGCCAGCUAUUGUCCUGGCUAACAGCUA